AACGCAUCUUGCGCUCCUUGGUAUUCCAUGGAGCAUGCCUGUUUGAGUGUCACGUAAACCCUCACACCAGUGAUGUCAAAAUCUCUGGAGGUGGAUUUGGACCGUGCCGUAGUUGGCUCGUCCUGAAAUGCAUUAGCCUGCACUUUGUUAGCGUGCUUGGCAUGGUGUGAUAAUUAUCUGCGCCGUCGCCUUUUUAUGCCGCUUCUUUGAAUGUGCUGCUUCUAAUCGUCCGCCUGCGGACAGACACUAUAAAGCUUUGGCCUCAAAUCAGGUAGGACUACCCGCUGAACUUAA
rnacentral:misc_RNA from 1 species